rnacentral:rRNA from 2 species
CGCGAAGAACCUUACCUGGUCUUGACAUCCACAGAAUUUUUUAGAAAUAAAAAAGUGCCUUUUAGGAACUGUGAGACAGGUGCUGCAUGGCUGUCGUCAGCUCGUGUUGUGAAAUGUUGGGUUAAGUCCCGCAACGAGCGCAACCCUUGUCCUUUUUUGCCAGCGGUUCGGCCGGGAACUACAAGGAGACUGCCGGUUAUAAACCGGAGGAAGGUGGGGACGACGUCAAGUCAUCAUGGCCCUUACGACCAGGGCUACACACGUGCUACAAUGGUACAUACAAAGAGAAGCAAAUUCGCGAGGAUAAGCAAAUCUCAUAAAGUGUAUCUUAGUUCGGACUGGAGUCUGCAACUCGACUCCACGAAGUCGGAAUCGCUAGUAAUCGUGAAUCAGAAUGUCA